CCAUUGACUGGUAUUUAUAUCUGAAGAUUCAGAUUGCAUUAAUAGAAAGUAGUAUAGCCCAGAAAAUUUGAGGAAAUAUAUUAUUUGUUAGUCUGUAACAGGAGAUUUUUAAAAUAAUUUUAUUAAUUUUGUAAUAUCUUGGCUGCAUGAUACCAAGCAGGCUAGCUUACACAUGGAUGCACAAAUGCCAAGUUUAUCUUCUGGCUUAAAAAUACAUAUUUUUUAAAAAUAGAUUUUCUAAAACACAUAAUAGAUUUAUCACAGCAACUGAAUCUGGUUAAUAUGAAAUAAGUUCUAAGUCACAUGCAAAUCAAGGUAUUUCAUCAUGAAAUUAUUUUGCAUGUUUUUAAAACAUAAAACAUAAUUUUGCCUACUUUGGAGGUAUACUUCCUUUUCUAUUAUGAAUCUGAUUUUUUGGCAUGACCUUUUUUUUUUUUAGAGGAGGACACAAUUUUUUUUUCUGGUGUGUGAUAGAUUUCUCCAGUUAAAAAAAAGAAAAGAAAAAAAAAAAACUUAAAAUCUACACAUGGUCGGCUGGGCGGAGGGAGGCGGCUCACCUGAGCGUGGCUGGGCCCAAUCCUGGGCUAGGGCUGGGGCUGGGAAUGGGGUGCAGUGAGGCUGGGGGCCGGCCCUGAGCUCAUCCUGCGUGUGGGAAGCGAGGCUCAGGGGGCGCCAGAGCUGGAGGCGGAAGCGUGAAGUUAGCACUGAGUGGGCGAAGAGAACCUGGGCUGAGCAGACAUGGCCAGUUAUCACCAAGAAGGGCAGAUGCAGCUGCCCCUAGCUGACGCCAUUCGUUCAUGUCUCAUCGAUACUUUCUCAUCUAGCAUUUGCAAGGUUUGAGUCAAGCUGUGCCGUGGCACACUAUCAGGGAGUUACUUGAUCCUUCCCGCCAGAAGCAACUUAUGUUGGGAGAUCAACACCAGCUAGUGUGCUUCUCUGUAAAGGCUCAACGUAUACGACAGAUUUCACAUGCGCAGAGGCUGUUGAGCAGGCUUCAUGUGCGCUGCAGUCAGAGGUCACCUCUUUCUUUGUGGAUCGGAUGGGUCCUUGGGUGUCCUCUCUUCACAAACUUCGUCAUCUUCCUCAUCUUUUUGAAUACGAUCGUAUUGAUAGUUGAAAUAGAAUUGCUGGAAUCCACAAAUACCUAACUGUGGCCAUUGAAGCUGACCUUGGAGGUGGUAACUCGGUUAUCUUGUUUAUUUUCAUCCUGGUGAUCCUUCUUAUGUGGCUAUCCAGCUUUUCCCUUUUCUGGAAGAGUGGAAUGUCUUUAACUUUGUUGUUACCAUGUUGUGCAGGCACUGA